UAAUUCCCUUGCAACGUGUAGGAAUGAUUUGUUUUGAUUUUGCCAGAGUUUGACAGAGCACUUUUCAGUUGGCCGCCUACCACCCACCCGCCUGCUGCGAUUGCUUUUUUUGUUUACGUGGGUGUCGGGUUUCUUUUUGAUUUUUCCUGAUGUUUAAUUUUUGUCAGUACAAGUAGUUUUGCAACCGUCGAAUUAAUUAUUCUUCUGCUUCUCCUGUCGCGCUUCACGGUAGUUUUUGUGUGAUUGUUGUUUGUGAAGGAGCAAAUCCGGACAAAUGCGAUAACGUUGUAACCGUUGGUAAGAGGAACCUGAGCCUCAAGCCGCAUCUUAUCAGUAGUGGUAUCUGUGAGGGAGUUCCAAAUCAGCGUGGGCAAAAACAUUCUGGAGUCAGAAUCGGCUGGCUGGCUGUUUUGGUGUUGCUGUCACCAGGCUUCACCGCGGCUCAGCUGGUACCCUCAAAUGUUCUAUAAAUCCUGCCUCAACAGUCAACCGUCGCCAUCUGGACGUAUUAUAUUCAAUCCGUUUCAUCUGAAACCGGCUAUAGUCGCGUUCCGGCGAACGGCCAAUGUGUACGUGGCUGAUAACUCUGCUGUUCGAGGCUGUGGUCUAGGGAAAAGCUGGAGUUAUUGAUAACGCACAGCGCUGAAGCUUCCAAAAAACCGCAACGAAUCAUCUGGAUUAAGAUCAGACGACUAGGUCGUGUCGAUCUACUGCUGGACGCCGUAACUUGGUCUGCCAUUUUUGAAUUAAAUUCUUUCCAUUGCUUGAGUCAACAAUUUGGGAAUGUUCCGCCGCCCAAAACGGCUCCACAACCUUCGCCGUAGCAGCACCCACAGCCGGUUCCAGUCGCUUCUGCGACUAAACAAAGCAUCUCCUAUCGCCUCUGGACUCGCAAGUAGGUAAGUUUUGUGGACUUUCAGUGCGCUGAUUUUGGUAUAUAUUUUAGUCUAUGAUUCCAACGUCCGAACACAACGUGCAGGUCCUUCAAUGGACGCUUUCGAAUCUGAGCCCGGGUGGGCGGGAAUCGAGUCCGAAACACCUCCAACAACAACACCACUGGCAAAAGUUUUACGGUCGCGGCGAACAAGUCUACGGAAGUGGCAGCGGCCUACAAUAUGGUUCCCACGUCGUCCUCGUCCAACAUCGCCGAACGCCAUCCAGAAAAUGAACAAUCUAUUCAGCCAACCGGUCGCACAACCAUAAGCCGGCCGAUGAAAUCACCGGCGGCCACGAGCAGCAGUGUUUCCGGUGGACUUAACAAUGAAAGUAGUACCGAAAGUAGCAACCCGGUUGGUAGCAGGUAGAGAUGGAGGCCACACCACGACUACGACCAGUAUCAAUAACAACAGUGGUCCGGCAGUACCGGUUGGAGCUGUAAAGGCGGCCACGGCUGGUGCAACAGCAGCACCAGCUCCGAGCACGAGAACCAGUUCUACCAGCUGGUUCGGAAUAAGCUUUGCAACCAGACGGUCCUGCAGCGGAUUAAGCAACUAUGUAUGGUGGACCCGCCCAAGCCCCCGUCAGAAAAGCAGCCGCUCAGCUACCCAUCCGGACGGACCGUCGUCGCAACCGCACAGUGGUAAAAGAUUGCCCAACAGUGAGGACUCACCCGUGCUCUGUCGCCGCGAGCACGGCUCCACUCGACAGCCGUAACUAACAUUCUCGCUCUCUUCUUGUUUGCACACUUUUCAGACGCCAAACUGGUCGACCUGUCGUGAAUCUUCUGCGAGGUCAUGCACGAUAUCCGGUCGGACCUACUGCCCACAUCCGAGUUUGUCCAGGUGCACCAGCACGUGUCCAACAUCAUUCAGCACAAGAAUGGAGCACGACCAGUACAUGAAGGACGGUUCGGACGUGCAUUUGCAGAUGUCCAACAAUGACAACUAGGAGAUCAUGUCGCUCCAGAGGAUGACUGUUGACGUCAGGAACGUCGUCGCCGAUCAACGAUGACCAGGCACACGCCGACCAGUGUGUUUUCGGCAGGAAGCGGCCGCGGCUGGCCAGCUGAUGACAUUCGACUUGAACCGUCUGAUCUCGCUGGACAGGCUUCAGCAGCGGAGUCGUUCGAGACGCUCGAUACAAUCUAGAACUACGAGAGGGUCGAGUGAAUUGACGAGGUAAUCUGCGCGAACUUGCACAAGUGAUCGACCAUGAAUUGCCGCUGUCGAGCCAGUGGAAACGGAUGCACUUCUGAUACAACCAGAAACGCCGUUUGACCAGCUCAGAAAGACACCAGCUCGGAGCAGAAGACGCGCAUUCAGUAGAAACUUGAAGAAGCAGUUAAGCGUGUAAUUGUAGUCGUAUUCAGGCUUCGCGUUAAAUUUACCAAAGUUAAAAAAAAUUUAUUUAAGCAA